UACGGGGGGAGCAAGCGUUGUUCGGAUUUACUGGGCGUAAAGGGCGCGUAGGCGGCCAGCACACGUCGGUUGUGGAAUCUCCGGGCUUAACUCGGAAAGGUCAACCGAUAUUGUGCGGCUAGAGUGCGGAAGGGGCAACUGGAAUUCUCGGUGUAGCGGUGAAAUGCGUAGAUAUCGAGAGGAACACCUGCGGCGAAGGCGGGUUGCUGGGCCGACACUGACGCUGAUGCGCGAAAGCCAGGGGAGCGAACGGG
rnacentral:rRNA from 1 species